CCCUUAGAUGUUCUGGGCUGCACGCGUGCUACACUGAUUACUUCAACAAGUGUUUUAACUGGAGAGUUCGCGUAAUCCUGAAAUGCUAUCGUGAUGGGAGUAGAGUAUUGUAUUUGUUAAUCUUUAACGAGGAAUUCCUAGUAAGUGUAGGUUUAUAAGUUGUUCUGAUUACGUCCCUGCCCUUUGUACACACCGCCCGUCGCUCCUACCGAUUGAUUGAUCCGGUGAAUUACAUAGAAUUUUGCGUUUUACAUGACGGAAGAUGAAGUGUUUUAAACCUUAUCAUUUAGAGGAAGGAGAAGUCGUAACA
rnacentral:rRNA from 1 species